AUGCUGGCAGCUGCCACUGUGACAGUGGGAGAAGACAGCACUAGGGACUCAUGUGCUGCUUCCCAGCUACUGCACGGGGUGAUUGGUGACUCUGGGGACACUCUCCCCUCCCAGCUGCCCUCCUUCCUGUUCCAGAAGCCCCACACCUAUGUAAACAACAUGUCCUGCUCGGAGGGCUGGUGCAGCCCUGCUCCAGCGUCUACCUCUCAGGCCAAAAGAUCCUGGAAGGCCCUGGGAGAUGGCAGAAGGACAUGGCCGAUGAUGGUUCAUGAGGACAACAUGCACAAUUCGUGCUGGCUGAGACUCCCACCCCUGCACAGCCAGGUCCCCGCGACUGGAGGCGUUGGCAGCACUGGGGUCCCCAAUCCCAACAAACGCAACAGGCGCAGCUGGGAGGAUGCGGAGCUCGGUGCCCAUUGGACACGGAGCAUCCCCGGAGUUUGGGGGGUGGAUGAGGGUGGGGACCGAGAAGGGUGUGUGGAGAUUCCGGGUUCAUCCUGGGCGGAUAGAGGCGAUAGUUUCUCCCCUGCUCAGCCCCGCCACGAUGCCAGUUCCGGCCGGCGCCGAGCCCCCAUCCCGGCCGCGCUCCCCCAGGACGCUCCCCACAGUGCCGGUCCCAGCCCGGCUCCCGGUCCCAGGGGUUGUCGCUCACCUGUGAAGGCGGUCGGGGCCCCGCACCAGCACCGGCCUCACCUGCUCUGCGCCGCCGCCGCCGCCCGGCUCCGCCUCCCCGGGCUCGGCGGAAGGGCGGGGGCCGGGCGGGGGCCGGGCGGGGGCCGGGCGGGGGCCGGGCGGGGGCCGGGCGGGGGCCGGGCGGGGGCCGGGCGGGGGCCGGGCGGGGGCCGGGCGGGGGCCGGGCGGGGGCCGGGCCGGGGCCGGGCGGGGCGAUCCCUCGGCCCUGUCCCCCAGGGUGUCGCCCCGGAACGAGGAGCAGAGCUUGGGGGGUGGCGGAGCUGCACCUCCAGCCCCUCGAGGAGCAGAUACGGGGGCAUCCCCUCGGGAGUGUUUGCGCGGCUGGAGCCGCACGGAAACGGGAUACAGGGUGGUCAUGGAGAUAUUCCAAAGGCUGGAGCCCUGGGCUGCUCUGGAGACCGGCUUGAAGAGCUGAGGGUGUUCAGCCUGGAGAAAAGAAGGCUCCAGGAAGAUAUAAGAGCCCCUUCCCAAGCCUAA
rnacentral:lncRNA from 1 species